CAAUAGCGUAUAUUAAAGUUGUUGCGGUUAAAAAGCUCGUAGUUGGAUUUCUGCUUUGCGAGGCCGGUCACCACUACGUGGUUGUAUCUGGUUCUAGCAGGGCAUCCUCGUCAAAAUGGUUACUGUGCUUGAUUGCAUGGUGCUGUGUUGGCGACUUUUACUUUGAGGAAAUUAGAGUGUUCACGGCAGGCAAUCGCCCUGAAUAUAUUAGCAUGGAAUAAUAAUAUAGGAUCUGAUGCCUAUUUUGUUGGUUUCUAGGUGUUAGAUAAUGAUUAAUAGGGACAAUUGGGGGCAUUCGUAUUAAGGCGUCAGAGGUGGAAUUCUUGGAUUGCCUUACGACGAACUACUGCGAAAGCAUUUGCCAAGGAUGUUUUCAUUGAUCAAGAACGAAAGUAAGGGGAUCGAAGACGAUCAGAUACCAU
rnacentral:rRNA from 1 species